UACGUAGGGGGCAAGCGUUGUCCGGAAUUAUUGGGCGUAAAGAGCGCGUAGGCGGUCCGGUAAGUCAGCUGUGAAAGUCAAGGGCUCAACCCUUGAAAGCCGGUUGAUACUGUCGGGCUAGAGUCCGGAAGAGGCGAGUGGAAUUCCCGGUGUAGCGGUGAAAUGCGCAGAUAUCGGGAGGAACACCAAUGGCGAAGGCAGCUCGCUGGGACGGUACUGACGCUGAGGCGCGAAAGCCAGGGGAGCGAACGGG
rnacentral:rRNA from 1 species